rnacentral:rRNA from 1 species
GAGUUUGAUCAUGGCUCAGGAUGAACGCUGGCGGCGUGCCUAAUACAUGCAAGUCGAGCGGAGAAUUUAGCAAUAGAUUCUUAGCGGCGAACGGGUGAGUAACGCGUUGGUGACCUGCCUCGAAGUUUGGGAUAACAGUUCGAAAGGACUGCUAAUACCGGAUGUGAUCGCGGAGAUUAGAGGCUCUGUGAUUAAAGGAGAAAUUCGCUUCGAGAGGGGCCUGCGUCCCAUCAGCUAGUUGGUAAGGUAAAGGCUUACCAAGGCGAUGACGGGUAGGGGACCUGAGAGGGUGGCCCCCCACAAUGGAACUGAAACACGGUCCAUACACCUACGGGUGGCAGCAGUAGGGAAUAUUGCAUAAUGGGCGAAAGCCUGAUGCAGCAACGCCGCGUGUGCGAUGAAGGCCUUCGGGUCGUAAAGCACUUUUGGAGGGGAUGAGGAAGGACAGUACCCUUCGAAUAAGCUUCGGCUAACUACGUG